rnacentral:rRNA from 1 species
CAACUUGAGAGUUUGAUCCUGGCUCAGAACGAACGCUGGCGGCAGGCCUAACACAUGCAAGUCGAACGCCGUAGCAAUACGGAGUGGCAGACGGGUGAGUAACACGUGGGAACGUACCCUUUGGUUCGGAAUAACUCAGGGAAACUUGAGCUAAUACCGGAUAAGCGCGAAAGCGGAAAGAUUUAUCGCCGAAGGAUCGGCCCGCGUCCGAUUAGCUAGUUGGUGAGGUAAUGGCUCACCAAGGCGACGAUCGGUAGCUGGUCUGAGAGGAUGAUCAGCCACACUGGGACUGAGACACGGCCCAGACUCCUACGG